AUGCCAUGGUGCGAACAUAUGACCAACAUCCCCUUAAAACGCUCCCAUGUUUCAUGCAAUGUUUCCAUUGGCCUCUGUUUUAAACUCCAAAUGUCAUCAAUCUAUUGU
rfam:Nicotiana sylvestris Nsyl_contig182001, whole genome shotgun sequence.